UCUAAAAGAAACCAUUACAAAAAUAAGGAAAAAUGAAUUUUACAAACUAUGUCAUAUGUUUUCUUUGUUUCCUCAAUAUAACUCUGAUUAGAAUGUCAAACAAAGAUAAAAUCAUCCGUAUUAAUCGUCAAUAUCGUGUAUAUUAUUAAUAUGAGCGUCUUUGCGUUAAAUUCGUGCUACACCACACCAUGCACUUAUAUCGACGUCGCAAUGCAAAAGAAGAAGGGCAAGAAAGAAACCUGUCCUGGUCUGGCGAUUUAAGGGAACAUUUGUUUAAGCCUGUCUAGAUCUUUUAUCAGUCUAGAAAGAUGUUGGAGAAAAGACAUCAUCCUCUUCUAUAAUCUCCAUCUGUAAUUGGACUAACAACUGGACCAGUGAAUGCAGGCAACUUACUCUCCAUUCGACCUUGCAGGUCACACCAUGGUCUCAAGAGGGAAAAUGAGUGCUCUAUGGAUUGAACAGAAAAGGUGAAUCAAAACUCCAACCAUCUGUAUGAGGGUCUGGAUGAAUAAAGGAUGCC